AUGCUAAAUGUCCUGAUGAUCACGUUUUCAGUAUUGAAUCUGGAAGGAGCCAUGACAGCAGGUGGAGGAACUGAUGAUGAUAUCCCAUUGGGAGAGAGGAAGACAGUUACUGAUUUUUGCUACUUACUAGAUAAAUCCAAACAGCUCUUCAAUGGUUUAAGGGAUUUACCUCAGUAUGGACAGAAACAAUGGCAGUCGUAUUUUGGACGUACUUUCGAUGUUUACACUAAGCUCUGGAAGUUCCAACAGCAGCACAGGCAAAUUCUGGACAAUAGGUAUGGUCUGAAGAGAUGGCAGAUUGGAGAAAUUGCUUCAAAAAUAGGACAACUCUAUUACCAUUAUUACUUGCGUACUUCUGAGACCAGUUAUCUGAAUGAAGCAUUUUCCUUCUACUCGGCAAUAAGACAAAGGGCCUACUACUCCCAAGUCACUAAAGAGGACAGGCCUGAGCUUGUGGUUAAAAAGCUACGGUAUUAUGCACGAUACAUAGUGGUUUGUCUGCUGCUUAACAAAAUGGACCUAGUUGGAGAUCUUGUUAAGGAACUGUCAGAUGAAAUUGAAGAUUAUACACAUCGGUUCAACACUGAAGAUCAGCUAGAAUGGAAUCUUGUGCUGCAAGAGGUGGCAGCGUUUGUUGAGGCGGAUCCUGCAAUUGUGUUAAAUGAUGACAACAGCAUUGUGGUAACAUCAAAUCGCCUGGCGGAGGGAGUAGUCCCACCACUGGAACAAGGGAUGGUAGCAGGCCAGCUAGCAUUAGCAGAUGCCCUAAUCAUUGGAAACUGCAGCAGUCAGGUUAAGUUCAGUGAGUUAACUAUAGACAUGUUCCGAAUGCUGCAGGCUCUUGAACGGGAACCCAUUAAUUUGGCUUCACAAUUGAACAAGUCUGGGACACAGGAGUCAACAGAAAAACCAUCAAAACGAGAAAAUCCUCACAAAUAUUUGCUGUACAAACCAACAUUCAGUCAACUGUACACAUUUCUUUCUGCAUCUUUUAAGGAGCUGCCUGGAAAUAGCGUCCUCCUGGUCUAUCUGUCAGCUACUGGUGUAUUUCCUACAGGUCGUUGUGAUUAUGAAGGUCCAUAUGAUUUUGGUGGGGUGCUCACCAACAAUAAUCGUGAUGCAGGAAACAUGGAAGUAAUACAAAAACGCAACAAUUCAUUUAAAGAAAUGCACUGUCUUCAUCCUGGUGAUUUCUUCCCUUUCACACGGAAACCAUUAUUUCUAAUUGUGGACUCUUCAAAUAGUAUAGCAUAUAAGAGUAUUGAACAACCUAGCUUCUGGAUGAGCAGGGCAAUUUGGGGACAGCAACUUCCUGAUUUGCGUACUCAUCAACACAUGUGCGACCACUGGAUGUUGCUGUCCGAUUUACUCUUUAACGAACUUUAUCAACUUAUUUGGCCAGCCUUUAGUCUGCCUGCUUUCGCCAACAGCAUAUCCCAAAGGUUUACAAGAUCAAACUCAACGUGGCAGCCUUUUCACCCUCUUUCUGUAUAAUCCUCUGAUGGCAUUUCUCUUUAUGUGUCGACUCACAAGUAUGAGGAAAGGAAUGUGGGAUAAAUGUCAAGAAUAUCUUCAUAAGAUUUAUAGGGACAUAGCUCACCUGCUGACUAAAUCACGGACUGUGGAUCAAGCAUUCCUUCAAUUUUUUGGUGAUGAUUUCCUUCGAUUAUUGUUGACCCGGUUUGUUCUCUGUUCUGCAACCAUGAGACUGCACAAAAUGUUCAGGGAAACUCGGAAUUACCCGGAAACAUACCCACAGUUGCAGAAAGAAGAUAGUGUGGAGAAUCCUGCCCUCCAGAAUCACAUUCUAGAACUGGCUUCCAUGUUGGAUGUUCGAAGCCUUUUCCUGGAAAAGACCACUGCUGAAUAUUAGGAGAAAGGCUGAAAAAUAAAUUUAACAAUUUAUUUGAAGCCACUGGUUCUGAAGAAGACAUUUUUCUUUGCAUUUACCUAUUGGAUAAUUGAAACACUUCUUUUUCAAACAGAAGUCUUUUUGAUCAGACAAUUUCUCAAAAGACUGAUGUAUCUGGCACAAUUAUGUUUCUGUAGUUAUGUGUUCCAUAGUCACUGUGUGUUAAGUGUAUUGUGAAGAAAACAUUAACACGGCAGGAUACAAUUGUAAAGAUGAUUUAUAAAUAAUGAUUAGCUGAAAAGGGCAUUUACUACAAAAGCAAUAGAAGCUUUUUGACUUGGUUCAUUUAUCCAUCCUGUGUUACAGUAAAACAUUAGAUGUUAAUAAGGUUGUCAUUCUGAGUGUUUUAUAAUUAAGUAUCUCUUGGCAGCAAUAUAUAGAAGAAAAAAUGAAUUAUUUCCCAUAAUAUUCUGUUUCAUUUUAAGAGUUAUAGUUAGCCAUAUGUACAAGCUGUGGUAUUAUCAGUAAACCCUUUAAUGGUCACCUUUGGUAUACUUAAGAGAAACUAAUACCCCUGUUAGUGUUUCACUACUGCAAUUAAAUAUGACAUGACCUGGAAAACACUGCAUUUGGCAGUGUUAUCUAACACUCCCAUAAUGCACUGUGACAGAUGAGCAUGCUCUGUUGAUGAAUGAGAACCAGAGCUACCAGGAAACAUUCAAAGCAGAGUCCAUUAGAUUAAGGUAGGUUUAAGUGUAUAUGUCUCAUGUUGCUUUACACUAUUGGAAUUGCUACAAAACACUGUAGCAUGAUAUCUAAUAGCUUCCAAUUCAGUCUCAUCUGUUCCAUUUACUACAGAUAUGUGCAUAAAACUAUUAGGGUUACUUUUGCAGUUGAGCCUCACUUUAGUGAAAUUAAAGAUAUUCUUAAUUAUAUUCCACCUACUCAUCAUUCCUCUUUGAAAGAGGAACUAUUUUAUUGAUUAAGUUGCUAGUAGCUAUAAUUUAACGUUGCUUUGUUCCUGAAAGACUGGUAGAAAUUAGAAGCUGAAAGAUGUAUUCUGUGUUCUCAACACAUUUACUAUGACAGGUCACACAUCUUAUGGUUACAAGUAUUGUGCUGUACAACUAAUUUUAGUUCAGCCAUAAGACGCUGCUACAUUUUUAUACAUGGAUACUUGAAAUAAGCAAGUUUUUUUUGUGAAAAGCUUUGGGAUUCAUACCUUUGCCAAAUAUACUUUGUAUAGUAAUGUUAUGUAAAGGAAACCAUCUUUCCUGUAAUAGAUUUUGAUCCAUUUAUGACAAGUAUCAAGACUAUUAAAUAUGCUUUUUAUGCCUAUUACCACAUCUUUUUGCAUCGUGUUGACUCAAUUCAUAGUUGAUAUUACCUCCUAGAUGGUUUAGGAGAGCUAUUUGACUUGUAUUGUGUGAAAUUUCUCUUUCUGAAGAUUUAUUCACUAUCAAGUCAUCACGUAGAUCUGAUUUAACUUAUGUUAUUGGUCUAAUAUGCUGUCACUUAAACUUGUGUCCUGUUGUUAAAAUCUGAAUGUGUUUUGGCUAAAAUACAAUUUUAAGGUGUGUAAAACAAGAAGGCAGCUUAAUUACUAAAAUGUUAAAUGCUUAUUGGCCAGAUGGCAUAAAAGGACAUUGUAGUAUUGACAAUUUUGCUUCCAAAGUUCUAAAAAUGGCCAAUAAUUAAUGUGUAAAUAAUUGCAACUACAAAGAUGUUUUAAGAUUUUUUAAUGAAAGAAUUUUUGUGAAUCACGUUGUAUUCACUUGACGCAGCCCAACUCCUGUGCUGCAGCUUUUCGAAAGGUUGUUAAGCAUGUUAUUAGAUUUAAAUGUGAUCUUUUGCUACUAUCUUGAAGCAGAAAAAUGCAAAGAUGAAAGCAGAAUUCUAUACUUUUAGUUAUAUUAAAAGGUAAACAGAUGGCGCACACUGGAGAAAAUGUUCUCACUGUCUGCACAUUAUAAUGCGUCUUGUGAUUAACAUAACUUAACUGUUGUAUGUACAUUUUUGUUUUUACUGUGUGUUCGUAAUGUGUAUUACCCUAUACUUUAUCAAUGAGACUCAAUAAAAAAAAUCCUAAAGCAAUGUUGAUUCUUCUGUAUAGUAGUAAAUAAUACUUGUGUACAUUUUGUGAUGCCGGAGUUGAAUAGUAAAAUGACAACACAGAUGUUUUUGAAAAAU